UAGACCAGCUAUCGUCGCCCCGGCGGAGGCCGGGGCCGCCACAGGCUCUUGCCGCAUCCUGUCCACACAAUCUCUGGCGGCCCCGGCCUCCGCCGGGGCGACGUGUGCAUCAUAG
rnacentral:pre_miRNA from 1 species